rnacentral:rRNA from 1 species
UACGUAGGCAGCGAGCGUUGUUCGGAAUUACUGGGCGUAAAGAGUGUGUAGGUGGUGCUCUAAGUUUGGUGUGAAAUCUCCCGGCUCAACCGGGAGGGUGCAUCGAAAACUGGAGUGCUAGAGGAUGGGAGAGGCAAGCGGAAUUCCUGGUGUAGCAGUGAAAUGCGUAGAUAUCAAGUUGAACACCAGUGGCGAAGGCGAGUCCCUGGACAACUCCUGACACUGAGGCACGAAAGCUAGGGGAGCAAACAGG